rnacentral:rRNA from 1 species
AGUCGAGGGGCAGCAUGAACUUAGCUUGCUAAGUUUGAUGGCGACCGGCGCACGGGUGAGUAACACGUAUCCAACCUGCCGAUGACUCGGGGAUAGCCUUUCGAAAGAAAGAUUAAUACCCGAUGGCAUAGUUCUUCCGCAUGGUAGAACUAUUAAAGGAUUUCGGUCAUCGAUGGGGAUGCGUUCCAUUAGGUUGUUGGCGGGGUAACGGCCCACCAAGCCUUCGAUGGAUAGGGGUUCUGAGAGGAAGGUCCCCCACAUUGGAACUGAGACACGGUCCAAACUCCUACGGGAGGCAGCAGUGAGGAAUAUUGGUCAAUGGACGAGAGUCUGAACCAGCCAAGUAGCGUGAAGGAUGACUGCCCUAUGGGUUGUAAACUUCUUUUAUACGGGAAUAAAGUGAGGCACGUGUGCCUUUUUGUAUGUACCGUAUGAAUAAGGAUCGGCUAACUCCGUGCCAGCAGCCGCGGUAAUACGGAGGAUCCGAGCGUUAUCCGGAUUUAUUGGGUUUAAAGGGAGCGUAGGCGGACGCUUAAGUCAGUUGUGAAAGUUUGCGGCUCAACCGUAAAAUUGCAGUUGAUACUGGGUGUCUUGAGUACAGUAGAGGCAGGCGGAAUUCGUGGUGUAGCGGUGAAAUGCUUAGAUAUCACGAAGAACUCCGAUUGCGAAGGCAGCUUGCUGGACUGUAACUGACGCUGAUGCUCGAAAGUGUGGGUAUCAAACAGGAUUAG